CCUACGGGAGGCAGCAGUGAGGAAUAUUGGUCAAUGGACGCAAGUCUGAACCAGCCAUGCUGCGUGCAGGAAGACGGCUCCAUGAGUUGUAAACUGCUUUUGGACGAGGGUAAACGCAGAUACGCGUCUCUGUCUGAAAGUAUCGUAAGAAUAAGGAUCGGCUAACUCCGUGCCAGCAGCCGCGGUAAUACGGAGGAUGCGAGCGUUAUCCGGAUUUAUUGGGUUUAAAGGGUGCGCAGGCGGAAGAUCAAGUCAGCGGUAAAAUUGAGGGGCUCAACCCCGUCGAGCCGUUGAAACUGGUUGUCUUGAGUGCGUGGGAGGAAUGCGGAAUGCGUGGUGUAGCGGUGAAAUGCAUAGAUAUCACGCAGAACUCCGAUUGCGAAGGCAGCAUUCCGGCGCUCAACUGACGCUCAGGCACGAAAGUGCGGGUAUCGAACAGGAUUAGAUACCCCAGUAGUC
rnacentral:rRNA from 1 species